rnacentral:rRNA from 1 species
AUGGAUAAGCUUUUGUCUGGUAUGAAGAGUGAGUACACAAAAGUCUUUGACUACCAGCUAGAGUUGCUUAGGAGUAACCCAGGAAGUACAAUAGCUAUUUGCUUGGACCCAGAAGAAAUGGAAGUGAAUGUUUUCCAGCAGUUAUAUGUUUGCUCCAGUGCUUUGAAGCAAGGGUUUAAAGCUGGGUGCAGGAAGGUGAUAGGGCUAGAUGGCUGCUUUUUCAAAGGAGCAUUCCAAGGUGAACUACUUGCUGCAAUUGCUAGGGAUGCAAACAACCAAAUGUACCCUGUAGCUUGGGCAGUUGUUGAAAAGGAGACUACAGAAACAUGGAAAUGGUUCAUUGGGCUGCUAAUCAAGGAUCUGGAUAUAAAUGAUCAAGGAGCUGGGUGGGUUUUCAUAUCUGACCAGCAAAAGGGAUUAAUUAAUAGCAUGAGGGAUUACUUGCCUAGGGCACAACAUAGGAUGUGUGCUAGGCACAUUUAUGCCAAUUGGAGAAAGAAGCAUAGAUAUCAUGAACUGCAGAAAAGGUUCUGGGCAAUUGCCAAGUCUUCUAACAGAGAGGAUUUCAACUAUAACAAGGACAAGCUUGCUCAAAAGACUCCUGAAGGUGCAAAGGAUAUUAUGAGGACAGAGCCAAAGCAUUGGGCCAGAUCCUUUUUCCCACCGGGAUCAAAGUGUGAAUUAGUGGAUAACAAUCUUUGUGAGUCUUUUAACAAUGCUAUCAUUGAGUUCAGGUUUUACCCCAUAAUAUCACAGCAAGAAAUGAUCAGGAAGAAAGUCUUUGCUAGAAUUCAGGACCAGAGAAGUAAAAGUGUGAAGUGGCAUGGCAUAGUUUGCCCUAACAUUAUGAAGAAAAUGCAUGCCAACGUUAAGAUGACUCAGUUCUGUGAUGUGCUCUGGAAUGGGAAGGAUGGAUUUGAGGUAAAGCACUUAAGAGGCAGAGGAAAGAGAUACACAGUAAACCUUGCCAACAAGACAUGCUCAUGUGGGUAUCUUCAACUGGCAGGCCUUCCUUGCUGCCAUGCCAUAUGUGCCAUAUACAAGAGUGGACAGAAAAUAGAAGAUUUCAUUGACCCAUGCUACUACAUUGAUACUUUCAAGAAAAUAUAUGAGCACUGCCUCCAACCUGUGGAAGGUGAAGAAAACUGGCCAGUUUCUCAGAACCCUAGGCCAGUGGCACCUGGAUAUGUUGCAAUGCCUAGAGCUAGGAAAAAAACAAUGACAUGA